rnacentral:tRNA from 1 species
GUUCUGAAAGCUAUAAGCUGCCUAUCUUGUAAAUAGGAAGAAGUUAAUUAAAAUUAAUUCAGAACU